GGUUCGGGAGCCGCCCUAAGGGAUGGACGGCAUGAAUUGGACCUGACCCCCUGCUUCGCAUGCGGUGCGCGCCCGUGGCCCGACGGGUGGCGCG
rfam:Rhodobacterales bacterium RIFCSPHIGHO2_02_FTLL_62_130 rifcsphigho2_02_scaffold_3462, whole genome shotgun sequence.